AUACGUAUGUCGCAAGCGUUAUCCGGAUUUAUUGGGCGUAAAGCGCGUCUAGGCGGCUUAGUAAGUCUGAUGUGAAAAUGCGGGGCUCAACCCCGUAUUGCGUUGGAAACUGCUAAACUAGAGUACUGGAGAGGUAGGCGGAACUACAAGUGUAGAGGUGAAAUUCGUAGAUAUGUGUAGGAAUGCCGAUGGGGAAGCCAGCCUACUGGACAGAUACUGGCGCUAAAGCGCGAAAGCGUGGGUAGCAAACAGGAUUAGAUGCCCUGGUAGUCCACGCCGUAAACGAUGAUUACUAGGUGUUGGGGGUCGAACCUCAGCGCCCAAGCUAACGCGAUAAGUAAUCCGCCUGGGCAGUACGUACGCAAGUAUGAAACUCAAAGGAAUUGACGGGG
rnacentral:rRNA from 1 species